rnacentral:misc_RNA from 1 species
GAUGAAGAACGUAGCGAAAUGGGAUAAGUAAUGUGAAUUGCAGAAUUCCGUGAAUCAUCGAAUCUUUGAACGCACAUUGCGCCCCCUGGUAUUCCGGGGGGCAUGCCUGUCCGAGCGUCAUUGCAACCUUCAAGCGCGGCUUGUGUGUUGGGUCUCGUCCCCCGUGGACGGGCCCGAAAGGCAGUGGCGGCGUCCCGACAUGGUGCCCGAGCGUAUGGGAAUCCUCUUCCGCUCGAAUCGGCCCAUGCGGCGCUGGUCGUAACCAAAUUUUUUACCGGUUGACCUCGGAUCAGGUAGGGAUACCCGCUGAACUUAAGCAUAUCAAUAAGCGGAGGA